rnacentral:rRNA from 1 species
AGGACGAACGCUGGCGGCGUGCUUAACACAUGCAAGUCGAGCGGAAAGGCCCUUCGGGGUACUCGAGCGGCGAACGGGUGAGUAACACGUGAGCAACCUGCCCUUAGCUUCGGGAUAGCUCCGGGAAACCGGAAUUAAUACCGAAUAUGACUUUGGCUGACAUCAGCAGAAGUGGAAAGUUUUUCGGCUAGGGAUGGACUCGCGGCCUAUCAGCUAGUUGGUGAGGUACGGCCCACCAAGGCGACGACGGGUA